UUCCUCAAUAGCUCAGUUGGUAGAGCAAUCGGCUGUUAACCGAUUUGUCGUAGGUUCGAGUCCUACUUGAGGAGCCAU
rnacentral:tRNA from 1 species